rnacentral:rRNA from 1 species
CCUACGGGAGGCAGCAGUGGGGAAUCUUGCGCAAUGGGCGAAAGCCUGACGCGGCAACGCCGCGUGCGGGAAGAAGGCUUUCGGGCUGUAAACCGCUUUCAGCAGGAACGAAAAUAGACGGUACCUGCAGAAGAAGGAGCGGCCAACUAUGUGCCAGCAGCCGCGGUGAUACAUAGGCUUCAAGCGUUGUCCGGAUUUAUUGGGCGUAAAGAGUUCGUAGGCGGUCGAGUAAGUCGGGUGUGAAAAUUCUGGGCUCAACCCAGAGACGCCACCCGAUACUGCUUGACUUGAGUUCGAUAGGGGAGUGGGGAAUUCCUAGUGUAGCGGUGAAAUGCGCAGAUAUUAGGAGGAACACCGGUGGCGAAGGCGCCACUCUGGAUCGAUACUGACGCUGAGGAACGAAAGCAUGGGUAGCAAACAGGAUUAGAUACCCUGGUAGUCCAUGCCGUAAACGGUUGGGCACUAGGUGUGGGUUUCCUAUUAACGAAAUCCGCGCCGUCGCUAAACGCAUUAAGUGCCCCGCCUGGGGGNGGUACGGUCGCGACGACGAACUAACAACGAAGUAGACGCGNGAGACGUGCGACGACGACGACGACGGAGGAGG